GGAAAAUUACCGGGGCUAAACUAUACACCGAAAUUGCGGAUUUGCAUAGAAAUAUGUAAGUGGUAGAGGAGCAUUCUAUAGUAGGACGAAGCAUAAUCGAAAGGAUAUGUGGACGAGAUAGAAGAGAGAAUGCCGGAAUAAGUAGCGAAAGCAUGGUGAGAAUCCAUGCCAUCGAAAGUCUAAGGUUUCCUGGGGAAGGUUCGUCCGCCCAGGGUAAGUCGGGACCUAAGGAGAGGCCGAAAAGCGUAUCCGAUGGACAGCAGGUAGAAAUUCCUGCACUACGUAAUACUUAAAAGACAUAAAUGACACAGGAGUGGAAGAUAAGCGAGGAAGAGGAAAGACUCGUAUCGAAAGAUAUAGUGAAAAUUAAAGUAACGAAUUAUCAAGAAGCUAAUGGCGAGAAAAGUUUAUGGAUAUUGUAUUAAGUACCCGUACCGCAAACCGACACAGGUAGAUGAGGAGAAGAUCCUAAGAUGAGCGAGAGAAGCAUUGUUAAGGAACUCGGCAAACUGACCCCGUAACUUCGGAAUAAGGGGUGCUGGAGUAAAAUCCAGUCGCAGAGAAUAGUCCCAAGCAACUGUUUAACAAAAACACAGGUUUCUGCUAAAUCGAAAGAUGAAGUAUAGGAGCUGACACCUGCCCAGUGCUGGAAGGUUAAGGGAAAGAGUUAGACGCAAGUCGAAGCUUAGAACUAAAGCCCCAGUGAACGGCGGCCGUAACUAUAACGGUCCUAAGGUAGCGAAAUUCCUUGUCAGGUAAGUUCUGACCCGCACGAAAGGUGUAAUGAUUUGGGAGCUGUCUCGACAAUGUACUCGGCGAAAUUGUAGUACUAGUGAAGAUGCUAGUUACCUGCGACAAGACAGAAAGACCCCAUGGAGCUUUACUGCAGCUUGAUACUGGGUUUCGGUAAUUUAUGUACAGGAUAGGUGGGAUGCUAAGAAGUAUGUGCGCCAGCGCAUAUGGAGCAGACGUUGGGAUACCACCCUUAAAUUACUGGAAUUCUAACUAUAAGUCCUAAGCGGGCUUGAGGACAAUGUCAGGCGGGCAGUUUGACUGGGGCGGUCGCCUCCUAAAGAGUAACGGAGGCGCGCAAAGGUUUCCUCAGCGCGGACAGAAAUCGCGCGAAAGAGUGCAAAGGCAGAAGGAAGCUUAACUGAGAGACAGACAUGUCGACCAGAUACGAAAGUAGGUCUUAGUGAUCCGGUGGUUGUAAGUGGAAAUGCCA
rnacentral:rRNA from 1 species